rnacentral:rRNA from 1 species
UACGAGGGGGGCAAGCGUUGUUCGGAAUUAUUGGGCGUAAAGGGCGCGUAGGCGGUGCGGUAAGUCUGAUGUGAAAUCUCCGGGCUCAACUCGGAGUCUGCAUCAGAAACUGCCGUGCUCGAGUGUGGGAGAGGUGAGUGGAAUUCCCGGUGUAGCGGUGAAAUGCGUAGAUAUCUGGAAGAACACCUAUGGCGAAGGCAGCUCUCUGGGACGGUACUGACGCUGAGACGCGAAAGCGUGGGGAGCGAACAGG